ensembl:ncRNA C07G1.14 ncRNA
UUAUAAAAGUUAUAAAAAAGUUACCAUUGCGUGCUGGAUCUUGGAGUUAAAAUUUUUAGGAAUAAUACUAAAUUUUGAUUUUUUCUUCAAAUGUCCAUUUACCCCAAUUAUAUUUUUAUUCAUUGUUUUCUACGUGAACCGGGGGAAAUGAAAAUUCGAUAAAACUGGAAAAAAGGGAAACAUAAAAGGGGAAAAUAAAAAAUAAACAAAUUCGAUGUGGAUGACUAAACGAUAAGGUAGCUGGAAAAAAGAAAGAAAAACGGUGUGUUGUGAAAGAAUUGAUU